rnacentral:rRNA from 1 species
UAGGGAAUCUUCGGCAAUGGACGAAAGUCUGACCGAGCAACGCCGCGUGAGUGAAGAAGGUUUUCGGAUCGUAAAACUCUGUUGUUAGAGAAGAACAAGGACGUUAGUAACUGAACGUCCCCUGCCGGUAUCUAACCAGAAAGCCACGGCUAACUACGUGCCAGCAGCCGCGGUAAUACGUAGGUGGCAAGCGUUGUCCGGACUUAUUGGGCGUAAAGCGAGCGCAGGCGGUUGCUUAAGUCUGAUGUGAAAGCCCCCGGCUCAACCGGGGAGGGUCAUUGGAAACUGGGAGACUUGAGUGCAGAAGAGGAGAGUGGAAGUCAAUGUGUAGCGGGGAACUGCGUAGAUAUAUGGAGGAACACCAGUGGCGAAGGCGGCUAUCAGGUCUGUAACGGACGAUGAGGCUAGAAAGCGUGGGGAGGAAACAGG